rnacentral:rRNA from 1 species
CAGUGGCAGACGGGUGAGUAACACGUGGGAACCUUCCUAGGGGUACGGAACAACUCAGGGAAACUUGAGCUAAUACCGUAUACGUCCGUGAGGAGAAAGAUUUAUCGCCCUUAGACGGGCCCGCGUCGGAUUAGCUAGUUGGUGGGGUAACGGCCUACCAAGGCGACGGUCCGUAGCUGAUCUUAGAGGAUGAUCAGCCACACUGGGACUGAGACAUGGCCCAGACUCCUACGGGAGGCAGCAGUGGGGAAUCUUGGACAAUGGGCGCAAGCCUGAUCCAGCCAUGCCGCGUGAGUGAUGAAGGUCUUCGGAUUGUAAAGCUCUUUUGCCAGGGACGAUAAUGACGGUACCUGGAGAAUAAGCCCCGGCAAA